CAGAGAUGGACUUGUGGUACCCAGCUUUGAGUGAGAAGUAUCUCUGCGUUGCCUCCACACCAGUAAAAACACCAGGUCUCCUGUCCUGAGUUAAAGAACUGCACAUAAUUAAGUGGGGGAAAGGGACAACAGAAAAGCUCCUUCAAUGGGAGGGUGCUACUGGACUUCGAUGGUUGUAAAUUGUGGGUAGAGAGAAAAUCUUUGUAAAUUGAGGAGUGAGAAAGAGGGAACAACCUCUUCUAAAUUGAAAGAGAAAAUAGGCUUGUUUGGGAAGACGAAUAGAAACCUAUUUCUUGUUCAGGAAAAGGGGAUGAAAUGGGAUGAUUCCUCUAAAGAGACAUCAGGAAAUGAUGUUUAGAGACUGAAAGAGGAUAGUGAGAGAGAAUUCCUUAAAAGAAAUGGAUACUAGAACUCCGUAUCCAAAAGCCAGACUCUCCUCGCCCAGGACUGGAAGACUGAGCGUUGAGAGAAGAAAGCAGAACUCAAAUGAGCCCCGGAGCAGGAGACCUGUGGAGAAGCAAGCAGCAGGCAGAAAGGUCUAUAGAGUUCUGGAGCUCUUCUGUGCCAGCAGCAGCUUCAAAACCGGGAUCAGUCUGUCAUCUUCUGAUCCUCAUGUCCAGAGGCAGCAAGGGUCUUUCUAACCCUCAGCUUCUUCUGAUUUUUGGAAUCCAGAUUUGGUUUUUGGAUGUUCAUCAAGAGGCUGGCUCCGUGAAUUUUAAUUAAGCUGUCUCCCCCCCCCCAUUUAUUACUAAUACACUCCUCUUAACUAUGAUUUAUUUGUUAAACAAAGCACCAUAAGCCGUCACUUAUUCAUCUUAAUUUCAACAAAAUUAAAGUAGUCGCUGUUAGAUUGCACCUAAUUGCACUUGCAAUGAAAAGAACGGAGAUGUUAAUCAAAAUAAAUUGAAGAUAAACAAUAAAAUCAUUACAUCUUGCGACGGUAAGUGUAACUAAUCAGUUUUGACUCGAAGCGACUGAACAGGAAUAAUGAAUGUGCCACCGAAGGCUGGUUCAUUAAGAGAAGCCACAGAGACCUGGUCCUUGGGGCAACAGACAGACACCCUGCCAAUGUGGCCCUAAGGGUUCUUGCCCCCUGGUUGGGCAAAGGGGCUCUAAGGAGCAAUGGGAGCUAGUGGGUAGCUCUCAGGAGGGAUGUCAUGGGUAGAAGGGCUCAGAAGCUGCCCUGCCACAGAAGGAUUCUCUCAUUCUGUUAAGGCAGCAAGAAAUCCCGUGCUCAUUCCUGGACAUGCCAGGUAACCAUGAAAAGAGCAAGUUGAGUUGAGAGACAGACAGACAACAGCUCUGCCAAGGACACAGAGAAAGACACACCCCAGGGGAUGUAGUAGAGAAGAAGGACAGGCAGAUGGAGUCUAGGAGAAAGAAAGAAAUGGAAAUAGAAAGGACCAUGAGAAGAAAGAGAAACUGAGGCAUCCCCUGUACUCCCUGGGAGUGAGGGGAGGAAAGAAGCAGGUGGCUCUGCACAAAUGGAGGCAAAUGGAGACAGAGCUCAGGAAGUCUCAAAAUCCCAGAGUCCUCAGGAGUCCAGGCAGGCACCUGACUUCUGGGGAUGAGACCACAGAGGGAUGCUAAGGAUCCCUAAGUGAAGAGACAGGAGCAUAUACCUCACAGAGGCCCUAUACUGGGGCCUUUCCUCAAGGCAUGUGGAUAUGACAGCAGAACCAGAGAGAGGCCAGCUUGCAUUGAAAACCCCCUAUGUUGC